ACGCUGGCGGCGCGCUUCAUACAUGCAAGUCGAACGAGAAUCUGGUGCUUGCACCAGAGGAAAGUGGCGGACGGGUGAGUAAUAUGUAGAGAAUCUGCCCUUUAGCGGGGGACAACAGUUGGAAACGACUGCUAAUACCCCAUAUGAGCGUAGCUGAGAUGCUAUUCUUGAAAACUCCGGUGCUAAAGGAUGAGUCUGCAUCUGAUUAGCUAGUUGGCGGUGUAAUGGACCACCAAGGCGACGAUCAGUAGCUGGUUUGAGAGGAUGAUCAGCCACAAUGGGACUGAGACACGGCCCAUACUCCUACGGGAGGCAGCAGUAGGGAAUUUUGCGCAAUGGGCGAAAGCCUGAACCGCAGCAACGCCGCGUGACCGAUGAAGCCCUUCGGGGUGUAAAGGUCUGUCAGUGGGGACGAAACUUGACGGUACCCACAGAGGAAGCAUCGGCUAACUCCGUGCCAGCCGCGGC
rnacentral:rRNA from 1 species